rnacentral:rRNA from 1 species
GCAUUGGGUUUCCAACCCAAAGCCGCAAUGAAAGUGAAGGUCGCGCYUCGCGCGGGCCGAGGCAAGACGGAGCGCGUYCGCGCGCUCCCGCAUUGCCGGGGCGUCUUAUCCAGUCCCUGGAGAGGCGCACCCAGAGUGUACACGUUGGGACCCGAAAGAUGGUGAACUAUGCCUGGUCAGGACGAAGACAGGGGAAACCCUGUUGGAGGUCCGUAGCGAUUCUGACGUGCAAAUCGAUCGUCGGAACUGGGUAUAGGGGCGAAAGACUAAUCGAACCAUCUAGUAGCUGGUUCCCUCCGAAGUUUCCCUCAGGAUAGCUGGCGCUUCUACCGAGUCUCAUCCGGUAAAGCGAAUGAUUAGAGGCCUUGGGGCCGAAACGACCUCAACCUAUUCUCAAACUUUAAAUGGGUGAGAUCUCCGGCUUGCUUWAACGCUGAAGCCGCGAGAUUUUCACGGGUGGAUCUGAGUGCCAAGUGGGCCAAUUUUGGUAAGCAGAA